rnacentral:sRNA from 1 species
GCUGCCGUGCAGAGGCGGCAGGGAGAAGACGCUCACCGUCGAGCUCCCGCUCCGGAUCUCUCUCAGCGCCCUGAGCGCCGCCGUGACGGUGCUCUUCAUGUCCGUGCUCCUCUCAUCCUCGGCCUCGGCCUCUCCCGGGACGGCUCCACCUGUUCGUUCGUCGGCAUGAGCUGGUCCAGCAUCUCCUCGCAUUCCUUCACGAGCUUGUAGAGGAGGUCGGUGGUGAAGAAGGGUUGCUGCAGCACCUUCUGGACGAAGGGGAGACGGAUCAUGGAGCCGGUUCUCUUGUCAAAAAUUCAGAGUGUGGGCGGCUCACCGGUGUAGUUGAGCGCGCUGUAAUUCUCGAGCAGCACCAUCUCGCCGUGGAGAUCGACGAUCUCCUUCCUCACGCGCAUCACCUCCUCCGCCGAUGCCAUCUUCCUCUCCCGGAGCUCCUGCGCGCGCCCUCUGCUUGAUGACGUACUCCUCCUCCUUCUCGAGGAAGAAGAAGUUGAACUUGUCGAGCUCGGCGUCGAGGAGGCCGACGAACCCGGCCUGCUCCAGCGUCAUCCCGCCCGCCGCCGCCGCCGUCACCGUCACCGCCAUGAGGUUGAGGCGCUUCUUGAGGUCCUUGUAGGAGAGGAAGUUGUCGCGCCACUCCGGCUGCAUCUCCACGAUCUGGCUGCUCAGGCUCUUGCCGAACUUCAUCGAUC